rnacentral:sRNA from 1 species
AGAGCCCUUGCGUGCGUGCACACGCACAUGUGUCCAGGUGCCUACGCAGGUGCUUGACCCUGGGCAAGUCGCUCCGUCAUGCGAACCUCAGUUUUCUCAUCUGUCCGACGAAGCAUGAUUUUUCGGUUGGACUGCAUCAGCUCCUUCCUUUUCUCCACCAGGACAGUAGGGAUCUACAGCCCAAGAACCAAAGACUUAGGACAUUUUGCUCUACUUGGGAAGUUUGUAAUGUUAUCUUCUGCUGUGGAGCAGAGUGCAAAGAAAUAGGGGGAGGAAAGGUGGGUUUCUUCAGUCUCCACCCCAAAGACCAAAGAGACUUGCUUCCCUGAGGGUUGCCUCUGCAUUGCAAGUUUAUUCCGACCCUUCACUACACAGAUGGACAACUCAGGUGGCCAGAGGACUUCAACUGAAUGGAAUUACACAAUGAUUUGUUGAACAUUUAUUGUGCACCAGGGAGUAUGUGAGGCUAUGUGGUAGGCAUGAGAUGAACAAUGGAAGAUUCUUGCCCCAUGGAAGGUGACCACUGGAAUUAGAAAUCCUAGCAUCACCUAAGGAAAGGCUCAGAUCUUCCCUGGUGGAGGUUGGGGAUCUUCCCAAAGGGACGUUUUGGAUCCAGAGGGCUUGUAUCAUUGCCUCUUGGCAGAGGUUUAGAGACUCCCUUCAUCAUGAAGUUUCACAGACUCCUUCAGCCUUUAUCUUUUCUGAGUUCUAUGGGGAAAAGCUAGGUUAGAUAUGUAGAGUGACUCACUGGGACCUGAGAAGGCAUCUGCGUGAGGCUGCGGGGGUCUCCUUAGAGAAAAGGGAAGCUGCAGUGUGGAGGCUGCGGGAUGCACAAGAUGAUCUCCAGAGUCUCUCAGCCUUCAGAAGUGCAGGCCCUCUGAGGCUACAUUCCUUCCUGGUCUGGCUCAGUGGAGGCUGUGUUUCCCCACUGUUGCUUUUUCCAUGGAUUUGUUCAGCAGUUGAAUGGGCAGAGAAGGAGGAGCCUCUCCUUUCCUGUUCUCACACAGCUCUGCUUCAUGGAGACCCACCCAGAUUCACUGGAGAGCAAAGCCUACCAGAGCCCCUGUCAGCAGCACUGUUUCUAGAAGCUUCCACACGAGAGGACAGCAUGGAGUCCUGGGGGCUGAUGAAGCAGCAAUGUCAGCACGAGCACAGGCAGGGAGAGGAAAGAGGAGUAGAGUGAAGGGGAAUGUUCUCUUCAUUCUUCCACCUGCGUGUGCCCCAGCCAACACAUCCCUUCCGUUCCCUGCAAGGCCAUUUCCAGGGAGGCUUAUGAAGACAGCAGAUGAUGGGGAUGGUGAUAGAAGGAGUCUGGAUGCUGAGCCAUGGACCUGGAGAGAAACUGAGUCUGAGGAAUGUCAACAUGCCAAGUCCAUGAAAUAUUAGUGGGCUGGAAUUCUAGCUGCCUGAAAAAAGACAUUCCUCACAAAAGACCUCACAAUCAUAUCCAUGGAAUUAUAGCACUGGGCUCUCCAGAUGGUGCUACAGGAAGACCUCCAGAAAUUUGACAAUCCUCUAUUCAAGGCCCUACCACAGAGACACACAGGAACGGAACUCAGAAUCACAAACAAAGAAACUUUGAUCCAAGAAAGAAAAUGAUCUUUAAAAAGACCCUCGUUUCAUGCUGGCCAAUGCUGAGAAAAUCUGCUCUGGAGGAUAUUUGGAGACGCUGAUUAAAAGAUGGUUGUCCCAGUGGAGGGGGAUUCUUAGUGUUACGUAGAUAGCAAGCACGAUGCAAAAGUGUUGAAGCAGGAGUGUAAAGAAUAAUUAAAACACCUGCCCAAGACCCAAGCAAGGAUAGGAUUUCCCAGACAUUCCCGAGGGAGAAAAUGCCAUGUCCUUUCCUUCUGGUGUCACAUCAGAAUCUGAAGGCUGCUAGAGAAGGGAGAGAAACAUGAAAGUGAGUCCCAUGCUGAUUGUUGUUGAAAUACCUAGAAAGAAACUGGCAAAGACUAUCCAAGGGAUGCUAAGACAUGUCCGAACUUAUAAAACAGUAGAACCUGAAUAGGAAUUUGAAGUUGUCUAUACUCUCCUCAGCCACACCCUGCCAUUUUACAGAUUGUCUUCUCUGGGGAAGUUAGCUGUCAUGUUGUGGGGAUACUCAAGCAGUUUAUAAAGAGGUUCAUGUCGCAAGGAAUGGAGGCCUCCUGUCAACAGCCAUGUAAAGGAACCAUCUAGGAAACAGAUUCUCCAGCCCCAGUCAGACCUUCAGAUGAUUACAGCCCCUACCAACCUUCUGACUGCGGUGGAAGGAAAGUUCCUGAACGAGAACCACCCAGGUUAAUAUGGGUAAGUCUCAUCCAAUCCUUUGAAGGCCUGAAGAACAAAGAGUGAGGUUUCUGGAAGAAGAAAAUUUUACCUCAAGCCUGCAAUGUAGAAAUUCCGCUUGAGUUUCAUGCCUGCUGGCCUGCCCUGUGGAAUUCGGAGUCAAGAAGGAGUCUUGUAAGCAUUAACUGAGAUAGUAUAUGAAGAGUGCUUUUGCACCGAGUGAACCCUCAAUCAACUGUACUAGUUUGUAUGCCUGGAAGAGCUGCUAUAUAGGAUCAGAAAGAAAAAUAAGGUGCAUACCCC